rnacentral:rRNA from 1 species
ACUCCUACGGGAGGCAGCAGUAACGAAUCUUCCGCAAUGCGCGAAAGCGUGACGGAGCGAUGCCGCGUGCAGGAUGAAGCCCCUCGGGGUGUAAACUGCUGUCAGGGAUUAGCAACACAAUGAGCAGUCCCAAAGGAAGAGACGACUAACUCUGUGCCAGCAGCCGCGGUAAU